rnacentral:rRNA from 1 species
GACGAACGCUGGCGGCGUGCUUAACACAUGCAAGUCGAACGCUGAAGCUCAGCUUUUGUUGGGUGGAUGAGUGGCGAACGGGUGAGUAACACGUGAGUAACCUGCCUCCUUCUUUGGGAUAACGCCCGGAAACGGGUGCUAAUACUGGAUAUUCACUGGUCUUCGCAUGGGGGUUGGUGGAAAGGGUUUUUCUGGUGGGGGAUGGGCUCGCGGCCUAUCAGCUUGUUGGUGGGGUGAUGGCCUACCAAGGCUUUGACGGGUAGCCGGCCUGAGAGGGUGACCGGUCACAUUGGGACUGAGAUACGGCCCAGACUGCUACGGGGGGCAGCAGUGGGGAGUAUUGCACAAUGGGCGAAAGCCUGAUGCAGCGACGCCGCGUGAGGGAUGGAGGCCUUCGGGUUGUGAACCUCUUUCGCUCAUGGUCAAGCCGCAACAAUGGUUGUGGUGAGGGUAGUGGGUAAAGAAGCGCCGGCUAACUACGUG